AGUUCAUUGAGCAACAGACGG
rnacentral:miRNA from 1 species